CUCUGUUUGCCCCUUGCUGGCUGAUUCCGUUUGUACUGUAUUUCUGGGUUGAAUAGACUAGAAGCCGACUAGUAGAAGAGCGUGUAGUGCGCUUCUAAAGCUGUCUUUUGCAGCUUCAACGUUUAUUAAUAUAAGCAUAUUUAUCCAUAGUGUGGUCUGGCAGCCAUGGCUGACAACAACACCGCCGCCACCACCACAGUGAUGCAGUCAUCUCAGCUGGAACAGUACCUUCUCUUGGCCAAGACAGCGAAAGGCGCCGCAGCCGCCGAACUCAUCAAGCAGGUCACAGAAGCCCCUGGCGUUCAUGUCUUUGGAGAGCUACUCGACAUGCCAAACAUUCAGGAGCUGGCAAAUGGUCCCCACAGCAGUUACUUAAACCUCCUCAACUUGUUUGCAUUUGGGACCUAUGCAACAUACCAUGAGAACAAAUCUCAGUUUCCACCAUUAACGCCGGCUAUGAUUACAAAAUUAAGGCACCUCACCAUAGUGUCUCUAGCAACAAAAACAAAGUGCAUCCCGUAUUCCACAUUGCUAAAAGAACUCGACAUGAAGAACUUGCGGGAGUUGGAAGAUCUGAUCAUUGACGUUAUCUAUGCCGAUGUGGUGCGAGGGAAACUGGACCAGAAGAACAAUCAGCUGGAAGUGGACUACACCAUAGGCAGGGACAUCCGUCCAGAGGACGUCAACACCAUCAUCCGAGUGCUGCAGGAAUGGUGCACAAGCUGCGAGACUGUAUUGAACAGCAUUGAGUGCCAGAUUGCCCGUGCUAAUGCCAUGAAGGACUCGCACAUGAAACUGAAGCAGCACAUUGAAAAUGAGGUGGCAAACAUAAAGAAGAAUCUAAAGGUGCAAUCGCAAGAUGUGGAUGACCAGAUGGGUGCCGAUGGCCGAGACGACAGCCACAUGGACAAGCCAGGCAAGAAGGGAUCCAAGAGCAAAGGGUUACCACAUCAGAGUAGAAGAUGAGAGUGGCUGAGAAAACGCCUGGGCUUUAAAGACUGACCUGCUUGAGUUGAAACAGGAUGGAGAAAUGGCCAAGAGAAGACCACCAAAGGCUUUCUUGAAAACACUGUAUAAACUGUAAAAUAAAAAUCCUGUUCCAUGCUGCCUUA
rnacentral:misc_RNA from 1 species